ACGUAGGGAGCGAGCGUUGUCCGGAUUUACUGGGUGUAAAGGGUGCGUAGGCGGCUCUGCAAGUCAGGUGUGAAACCCAUCGGCUUAACUGAUGGACUGCAUUUGAAACUGUGGGGCUUGAGUGGAGCAGAGGCAGACGGAAUUCCCGGUGUAGCGGUGAAAUGCGUAGAGAUCGGGAGGAACACCAGUGGCGAAGGCGGUCUGCUGGGCUUUAACUGACGCUGAGGCACGAAAGCAUGGGUAGCAAACAGGAUUAGAUACCCUGGUAGUCCAUGCUGUAAACGAUGAUUACUAGGUGUGGGGGGUCUGACCCCCUCCGUGCCGGAGUUAACACAAUAAGUAAUCCACCUGGGAAGUACGACCGCAAGGUUGAAACUCAAAGGAAUUGACGGGGGCCCGCACAAGCAGUGGAGUAUGUGGUUUAAUUCGAAGCAACGCGAAGAACCUUACCAGGUCUUGACAUCUAUCGAAUCCUGUAGAGAUACGGGAGUGCCCUUCGGGGAACGGUAAGACAGGUGGUGCAUGGUU
rnacentral:rRNA from 1 species